rnacentral:lncRNA from 1 species
UGUUUAAUUAUUUUAGUUAUGUAAAAAUGUAAUGUUAAAUAGGGCUAUGUGAUGUUUAAGUAUGAAUUUUCCACUUCAGUUUUACGAAUGGCUAUGUUUGGUUGUUUAUAGUGAGUAGAUGUCUUGUUUAUCUGUAUUUGGUUGUUAGGUUGGUUGCAGUAAGCAUUUGUCCAGUUUUCAAGCACGUGCCUUUUUAUUUGUAUUUGCUUGUUACGCUGGUUCGAGUGAGAAUUUGUCCAGUAUUCAAGAAAUU